AAUGACGAGAGCUUGCUCUCUGAUUUUAGCGGCGGACGGGUGAGUAACACGUGGGCAACCUGCCCUACAGAUGGGGAUAACUCCGGGAAACCGGGGCUAAUACCGAAUAAUCAGUUUGUCCGCAUGGACAAACUCUGAAAGACGGUUUCGGCUGUCACUGUAGGAUGGGCCCGCGGCGCAUUAGCUAGUUGGUGGGGUAAUGGCCUACCAAGGCAACGAUGCGUAGCCGACCUGAGAGGGUGAUCGGCCACACUGGGACUGAGACACGGCCCAGACUCCUACGGGAGGCAGCAGUAGGGAAUCUUCCACAAUGGACGAAAGUCUGAUGGAGCAAUGCCGCGUGAGCGAAGAAGGUUUUCGGAUCGUAAAGCUCUGUUGUAAGGGAAGAACACGUACGGGAGUAACUGCCCGUGCCAUGACGGUACCUUAUUAGAAAGCCACGGCUAACUACGUGCCAGCAGCCGCGGUAAUACGUAGGUGGCAAGCGUUGUCCGGAAUUAUUGGGCGUAAAGCGCGCGCAGGCGGUUCUUUAAGUCUGAUGUGAAAGCCCACGGCUCAACCGUGGAGGGUCAUUGGAAACUGGAGAACUUGAGUACAGAAGAGGAAAGCGGAAUUCCACGUGUAGCGGUGAAAUGCGUAGAGAUGUGGAGGAACACCAGUGGCGAAGGCGGCUUUCUGGU
rnacentral:rRNA from 1 species